GACCGGCCACACUGGGACUGAGACACGGCCCAGACUCCUACGGGAGGCAGCAGUGGGGAAUAUUGCACAAUGGGCGCAAGCCUGAUGCAGCGACGCCGCGUGAGGGAUGACGGCCUUCGGGUUGUAAACCUCUUUCAGUAGGGAAGAAGCGAAAGUGACGGUACCUGCAGAAGAAGCGCCGGCUAACUACGUGCCAGCAGCCGCGGUAAUACGUAGGGCGCAAGCGUUAUCCGGAAUUAUUGGGCGUAAAGAGCUCGUAGGCGGUUUGUCGCGUCUGCCGUGAAAGUCCGGGGCUCAACUCCGGAUCUGCGGUGGGUACGGGCAGACUAGAGUGAUGUAGGGGAGACUGGAAUUCCUGGUGUAGCGGUGAAAUGCGCAGAUAUCAGGAGGAACACCGAUGGCGAAGGCAGGUCUCUGGGCAUUAACUGACGCUGAGGAGCGAAAGCAUGGGGAGCGAACAGGAUUAGAUACCCUGGUAGUCCAUGCCGUAAACGUUGGGCACUAGUGUGGGGGACAUUCCACGUUUUCCGCGCCGUAGCUAACGCAUUAAGUGCCCCGCCUGGGGAGUACNGG
rnacentral:rRNA from 1 species